AGAGAGAGACAUGCGUGCAUAUCAAUAAGCGGAGGAAAAGAAACUAACAAGGAUUCCCCUAGUAACGGCGAGUGAAGCGGGAAGAGCUCAAAUUUGAAAUCUUAAAGGGUUUCCCUUUACGAAUUGUAGUUUAAAGAAGUGUUUUCUGUUGAGGUUUUGGUAAAAGUUCUUUGGAAUAGGACAUCAUAGAGGGUGAGAAUCCCGUAUUUGACCUUUACUUUCAACUUUGUGAUACACUUUCAAAGAGUCGGAUUGUUUGGGAAUGCAGUCCAAAAUGGGUGGUAAAUUUCAUCUAAAGCUAAAUAUUGGCGAGAGACCGAUAGCGAACAAGUACCGUGAGGGAAAGAUGAAAAGAACUUUGAAAAGAGAGUUAAACAGUACGUGAAAUUGUCAAAAGGGAAGCGUUUGACACCAGUGUUGUUUUUCUGAAAAUCAAUUAAAGAACUGUUUAUGCUAAGUUGUUUAGACUUUAUCAGCUAACUGUUUAGUUUUGAGCUUUUCUUUAAUGCACUUUUCAGUUAACAAGUCAACAUCAAUUUCUUUUGCUGUAAAAAAGCUUGAGGAAGGUGGCUUGAGAUUCGUCUUAAGUGUUUAUAGCCUCUUGCCUAUGCAGUCGGAGAGAUUGAGGUCUGCAGCGUAGAUCCUUCGGGGCUAAAUGCAUUUGUGCUAAGUUAUAGCAUUUUACAGACAACUUGUUGACUAUGAUUUGUCUUGUAGCUUACUCGCUUAUGUUAUUUUACCUACGCUUAGGAUGUUGACGCAUGAGAUAUACGC
rnacentral:rRNA from 1 species